UUUAAGGUCUAACCUGCCCAAUGAUAUUUAAAUGGCUGCGGUAUUUUGACCGUGCAAAGGUAGCAUAAUCAUUAGUUUUUUAAUUAGAAGCUGGAAUGAAUGGUUGGACGAGAAAAAAUCUGUCUCAAUUUAAGUUAAUUAGAAUUUUAUUUUUAAGUUAAAAAGCUUAGAUAGUAUUAAAAGACGAGAAGACCCUAUAGAGUUUUAUAUUUAUUUAUAUAGUAUAAAUUAUUUAUGUGUAUUAUAUAAACAAAUAUUUUAUUGGGGUGAUAUAAAAAUUAAAUAAACUUUUAUUAGUAUAUAACAUAUAUUUAUGAUUUAAUGAUCCAUUAUUUAUGAUUAUAAGAUUAAAUUACCUUAGGGAUAACAGCGUAAUUUUUUAGAAAGUUCUUAUUGAAUAAAAAGUUUGCGACCUCGAUGUUGGAUUAAAAUUUACUUUUGGUGUAGGAGCUAAUGAGUUAGGUCUGUUCGACCUUUAAAAUUUUACAUGAUCUGAGUUUAAACCGGUGUGAGCCAGGUUGGUUUCUAUCUUUAAUAAAAUAGUAUAUUUUAGUACGAAAGGAUUUGGUAUAUAUAAAAUUUAUUUUUAUGUGAAUAAUAUUA
rnacentral:rRNA from 1 species